rnacentral:tmRNA from 1 species
GGGGCUGACCGGUUUUGACAGCAUAGGUCUUUGAAAGUGUAAGCAUGCCGUGCGUUGGAUAAUUAGCACGUAAAUCUGAAUACCCGAACUAUAAAUGGCGAAUCUACUUACGCCAUGGCUGCCUAAUCAGCGAUUAGCGUAGUCAUUAUGGCCGGGCAAGCGGGUUAACCUGUACCAAGCCGCCCCGCCCAAUCAAAAAAGAAACGGGUUGCUGCAACAGAAGGCUGUGACUGUUGCUUAAGACCAUACAGCUAAGGAGUGGAUUGGUUUGUUCCGGUCCGGUACAUUCCCGACAAUUAAUCCGGAAAUAAGCAUGUAGAAAGCUUUUGAUGAAUAUGUUUGGACGCGGGUUCGAAUCCCGCCAGCUCCACCC